UGAGUAGCACAGAUGAUCGCGCCUAUUAGCUGCCGAAAGGCCUUAGGUGAGGAAAGUCCGAGCUUCAUAGGGCAGAGUGCCGGAUAACGUCCGGUGGAGGCGACUCUAAGGAUAGUGCAACAGAAAUAUACCGCCUGUAUGUUUUGGCAUACCGGUAAGGUUGGAAGGGUGGAGUAAGAGACCACCGCCUGUGUGGUAACAGACAGGGCAUAUGUAAACCCCACUCGAAGCAAGACCGAAUUUAAAGCGAUACGGCUGCCCGUCGUGCUUUAGGGUAGGUCGCGGUUUGCAGUAUAAUGUCUGCUUUGGCAGUACAUUAUUUCACAAACGAGCCAUAUGGUAACAUGUGGCAAAGAUAGAUGAUCAUUUAAUACAGAACUCGGCUUAUAGUGCUGCUCAUUUA
rnacentral:RNase_P_RNA from 1 species